rnacentral:rRNA from 1 species
GUAUUAAAGGUGCUGCCUGCCCAGUGAAACAUUCAACGGCCGCGGUAUCCUAACCGUGCAAAGGUAGCGUAAUCACUUGUCUUUUAAAUAAAGACUCGUAUGAAAGGCUGAAUGAGGACAAAACUGUCUCUUAUAGUUGACCAGUGAAACUGAUCUUCAAGUACAAAAGCUUGAAUAAACACAUAAGACGAGAAGACCCUGUGGAGCUUAAAACCAACCUAUAAGCCCAAUAGCCUGAGUUUUAAGUUGGGGCGACUUCGGAACAAAAUAAAACUUCCGAGCACAGAGCCAACCACUCCCCCAAGACCAACAAGUCAAAGGACCUCGCUGACCCAGUCACACUGAUCAACGAACCAAGUUACCCCAGGGAUAACAGCGCCAUCUUCUUCAAGAGUCCAUAUCGACAAGAAGGUUUACGACCUCGAUGUUGGAUCAGGACACCCAAAUGGUGCAGCAA